AUCUUCAGGGCGGGGUGAGAGUCCCCACUGGCGGUACAGUCCGCGACCUGCCGAACAGGCAGCUGAACCGGUGAAACUCCGGUACCAACCGUAUAGUCGGGAUGGAAGAAGAU
rnacentral:ncRNA from 1 species